AAUAGAUACCCUGGUAGUCCACGCUGUAAACGAUGGAUACUAGGUGUGGGAGGUAUCGACCCCUUCCCGUGCCGCAGUAAACGCAAUAAGUAUCCCGCCUGGGGAGUACGGCCGCAAGGUUGAAACUCAAAGGAAUUGACGGGGGCCCGCACAAGCAGCGGAGCAUGUGGUUUUAAUUUCGAAGCAACGCGAAGAACCUUACCAGGACUUGACAUCCCCUGCAUUACUCGUAACGGAGGAAAUCCUUCGGGACAGGGAGACAGGUGGUGCAUGGUUGUCGUCAGCUCGUGUCGUGAGAUGUUGGGUUAAGUCCCGCAACGAGCGCAACCCUUAUCCUUAGUUGCUAACAGUAAGAUGAGCACUCUAGGGAGACUGCCGGGGACAACUCGGAGGAAGGUGGGGAUGACGUCAAAUCAUCAUGCCCCUUAUGUUCUGGGCUACACACGUGCUACAAUGGGUAGAACAACGGGAAGCAAGCUAGUGAUAGUAAGCAAAUCCCUAAAAACUACUCUCAAGUUCAGAUUGUAGGCUGCAACUCGCCUAC
rnacentral:rRNA from 1 species